rnacentral:rRNA from 1 species
GAUGAACGCUAGCUACAGGCUUAACACAUGCAAGUCGAGGGGAAACGACAUCGAAAGCUUGCUUUUGAUGGGCGUCGACCGGCGCACGGGUGAGUAACGCGUAUCCAACCUGCCCACCACUUGGGGAUAACCUUGCGAAAGUAAGACUAAUACCCAAUGAUAUCCCACGAAGACAUCUGAAUGGGAUUAAAGAUUUAUCGGUGAUGGAUGGGGAUGCGUCUGAUUAGCUUGUUGGCGGGGUAACGGCCCACCAAGGCAACGAUCAGUAGGGGUUCUGAGAGGAAGGUCCCCCACAUUGGAACUGAGACACGGUCCAAACUCCUACGGGAGGCAGCAGUGAGGAAUAUUGGUCAAUGGGCGAGAGCCUGAACCAGCCAAGUAGCGUGCAGGAAGACGGCCCUAUGGGUUGUAAACUGCUUUUAUAAGGGAAUAAAGUGGGUCACGUGUGACUUUUUGCAUGUACCUGAUGAAUAAGGACCGGCUAAUUCCGUG